rnacentral:rRNA from 1 species
GCCAGCAUGAAGCCGGAAUUGCUAGUAAUGGCAGGUCAGCAUACUGCCGUGAAUACGUUCCCGGGCCUUGUACACACCGCCCGUCACACCAUGAGAGUUGGGGAUACCCGAAGCCUGUGAGCCAACAGUUAAAUGAGGCAGCAGUCGAAGGUAGAAUCAAUGAUUGGGGUGAAGUCGUAACAAGGUAGC